rnacentral:lncRNA from 1 species
AUUUGUAAAGUUUUUUAGAAAUUGAGCAAAGGAACAUUUUAUCCAUUUGUCAGAACUGUGAGCUCUGCCUCAAUUGCAUUAGCUUUUUAUUCAUUUUUAAGUGACUGAAUUGAUGAAAACAAAUUCCUUGUGAAGUCUCGCCAAAAGGCGUCAGGGGAAACGGCAUCUGUUCAUGUUCUGGAUCCGCGUUCACAUUCUGACGGAGGAGCUUCAUGUCAAAACCAGUAUCCCCGUGGUAUGAAGUCCUCUUAUUGUCAGCUAUUCAGUUGCUACUAGAGACUACAGGAGGUGACAGAGCUAGGGUUUGCAUCCAGAUCUGCUUAACUUCAAACCUAUGCCCUUUCUGCCCGGACUUCCCGUGGAUGUGCUUGGGGACAGGGUUGGAGCUCCAGCACCUAGCUCUGCGUUGACAUCAGCUUCAAAAGAAUCUUUUCAGACACCAUAACCCCUCACAUGAGGGAAACAAUAGAAAGAAUAAACAAAUGGGACUUCAUCAGACUAAAGAGCUUCUUCAAGGCGAGGGAAAACAGGAUUGAACCAAAAAAACAGCCC